rnacentral:snRNA from 1 species
GGACGUGAGGUUGAUCUGGCUGCGACAUGUCAGCCCAUUGAUCACCAGGGUUGAUUUGGCUGAUCUGGUUGGCUAGGUGAGCGUCCCCGUCCUCCCUCGCUACUCCAUGUGUGUCCCUCCUGAAGCUCCGUGCUCGGUGGAAGAGGACGACCAUCUCAGAUAGAAGGAGUGUACUAUUCUUCGGACAAGGGUAUAUUCAGUGGAAGAGGACGACCAUCCCAGAUAGCAGUGUUCUAUUCUU